AGUGAUUAAAAAAUAGUGGGAGAAGCAGAAAAAUGAAUCAUGAAGACGGGACUGAUCCUUGGUUUUCUGGAAGGCCACAAGCGCCCCCUUGGGAUGCAAUAGAGUACAAUCAACUCAUUUCUGCAUGACCAUUGUUGCCACUACUAGAGCAGUACACGAGCAUAGGUUCUUAUGACACAACCACACAUGCAGGGAUACCAUGGCAAGUUGCAACAAAGGGGGCUAUCGGUGAUAGAUAUGCGAGAGACCAACUUCAAGUAGCAAAUGUGGAAAAUCAAGGACCAUCAUGCAACACGUGGCAACAGGUGGCAACCGGAUACCUGCCAUCAACGUCUUACACAGUUGAGAUGUAAGAAAUGGUCUUGCGCACAGGCUAUCAGAAAAGGAAACUGGAUAACAUUGGUGUUUACGUGGUGUGACGAAAAUGAAAAAUAGAUGACAUUGGCGUUUGUAGCUGAUAUAAAUCAAAAAAAUGAUGAAAAGUGCACCUGCCAAGCCUGGUCAACUGUAUUUGCCAUCCGUGGACAACUGCAUGUGCCAAAUUAAAUGUAUGACUACCAUUUUCCAUGC